CACGUAUUUAGCCGGAGCUUCUUUUUCAGGUACCGUCACUUUCUUCCCUGCUGAUAGAGCUUUACAUAACGAAUUACUUCUUCACUCACGCGGCGUCGCUGCAUCAGAGUUCCCUCCAUUGUGCAAUAUUCCCCACUGCUGCCUCCCGUAGGAGUCUGGGCCGUGUCUCAGCCCCAAUGUGGCCGUCCACCCUCUCAGGCCGGCUACUGAUCGUCGCCUUGGUGUGCUUUUACCACUCCAACUAGCUAAUCAGACGCGGGUCCAUCUCAUACCAGAUUUCUCCUUUUCACACAAAAACAUGCGUCUUUGUGCGCUUAUGCGGUUUACCACCUAGUUUCCCGAUGCUACUCCCCUCGUAUGAGGCAGGUCGCCACGCGUUACUCACCCGUCCGCCACUAAGAUAGUUCUCUUUCACCUCGAAAAGUCUUACCAAGUCAAUAUCUCCGUUCGACUUGCUAUGUGUUAGGCACGCCGCCAGCCGGUUCACUCUCAGCCAAGGUAA
rnacentral:rRNA from 1 species